UCCUCUGCUCUUUGUUCUCUCUGACGGCAGCCCGCCGUCCGACGAACCACCACACCGCCGCCACCUUUUCCUCAUCUACUUCUGACACGCUUCCUCGGCAUCCACCAACGCCGGUUCCUUCCCGAGAAUCUCUCCUGGUCACUCUGCCCUUUGCUUUUUCUCCGCCACUGCUUCCGCAACCGCUUGGUUUGCUUCGGAUUGUGAUGAACUCGGGGAAGGUUUUUCACGACACUCGGUUGUUUCUCUUUCUGUUUUCUGGCUGCUUUGUUACAUUGAGAAUGAGAAAGUUGUGUGGGGUGAUUGCAGAGUCGCAAUGAUGUCGAAGGAUCUUUGUUUGUUGUUGAGAGGAAUACUUAGCCGAGGUUUCAGUUCAUUGUGCUGAAUAGGCGAAGCGCAGGUUUGUCGCCUCGUUUUCCCAAGGUUUCAGAUGGUAUCAACUACAUUGGAGGAAGUUCCUAGAAGGCGUGGGUAUCCUGGGCGCAUGUUCGCUGAUACGGCAACGAUUUACAAGCGUGCUGAGCUUACUGAAGGGCGAAAAGGCUCCAUCACUCAAAUUCCUAUUUUGACUAUGCCUAAUGAUGUUGGGUUUAAUGCUUACACAAGGUGUUUGAUCUGUACCCUUUACCUUGCCGAGUGCAAUAGGCGAGGAAAUGACACAGAGGUCAUCCCAGCUAUACACAAAUUAUGCAAUUGGGAAAGAUGUUCAAGCUAUGAAAGCCGUGAUUGGAGAAGAAGCUCUAUCUUCUGAGGAUUUGGCCUCUCUCUCUCUCUCUCUCUCUCUCUCUCUCUCUCUCUCUCUCAUGCAAACCAUUGGGAUUCUCCUAAUUCAAUUUUCUCCUCCUCUUCCUAUCGUUUGUCUUCCACUUGAUAUUCUAAGUAAUUAUACGUGAUUCUCUUUUCGUGAUAUUUCAGUUUUAUCUGGAGUUCCUUGAAAAGUUCAAGAGGAAAUUUGUGUAGGGAGCCUACAACACAUGCAAUAUUAAUCAGUCUCCUGACUUGGCAUGGACUUUGCUUUAUAUAUUCUCUCGCAAGCUGCUUCACUGUAUACUAGCAAAGACGCUGGACCAGUACUACAGCCGUGACUCCACAAACUGAUUUAAAGAAGUUGCAUGACUGUCACCAACCGGUGCUCUGUCAUCUUUUGUUGGCUUGCCUAAACCGACCCCACUUUUGAGGAGCAACGUAUGAUGGCUCACUAGCUUCUCCAGCCAAAUAAAAGGAAUUCAUCCUCAUAUGCUCCUCCCUUAUACAUUGUCGCAUAAAGUACAAUUCCUCCCUUAUAUUUUCAGGGCUGUGUUUAUUGAAUGCAGUGUUCUAAACACGUAGAAUGUUGGGA